AGUGCCCACACACUCCCUCCAGACCCCUACCCAUGCAUAAUGCUGCCUGAAACUUCUGCAAGUGAAGUGUGAAAUGUCUGGACAGUGUCCUGAGUGAUAGUCAAUGAACAGUGUGCCAUGCGCUGUGUGCACAUACAUUUUUCACUAAUCAAGCAGCUUUGCCAAAUGCUGGCAGCGAGGCCGGCUGCCUAGACAGCCUUACACAAACGCCGGCCCUGCCCUCUUCCUCGGGUUUCUGACGAUGUGUCCCGGAUGACCAGUUAGCUGGCAGAGCUACUGUCUAGAACCACUCUGUAUGGAGAUGCAGGGCGACUUGGGGGGGGGGGGCCGAGUGGCUUCCCACACUCUCUAUUACUGUUUCACCACUUUUCGUUGCCCGCUGUCUCCUGCCUGAAACGCCAACACCUCCGUUAAACCUAUUUGGGGUGAUCCAAUCAUGUGGAACCUCUGUGACUCCUGUUUUCCUUUGCUCGCUUAUCCACUCUUCAGCAUAACACCACUGGCAGGUGCUGUGUUAACUAAAGACAAAGAUCAUCAAGUAGAAGGCUCACACCAGCUCCACUGCUUGCAAAGAUGUAAUUUAUAUGUCUGGAGCCCCUUGGCACUGGUCACAUUGUAUUUUCUGAAUAAAUUCACAGUUCUUUUAACCAAA